rnacentral:rRNA from 1 species
UGCGACCCCAGGUCAGGCGGGACUACCCGCUGAGUUU